AUUGAACGCUGGCGGCAUGCCUUACACAUGCAAGUCGAACGGUAACAGGUCUUCGGAUGCUGACGAGUGGCGAACGGGUGAGUAAUACAUCGGAACGUGCCUAGUAGUGGGGGAUAACUACUCGAAAGAGUGGCUAAUACCGCAUGAGAUCUACGGAUGAAGGCAGGGGAUCGCAAGACCUUGUGCUACUAGAGCGGCCGAUGGCAGAUUAGGUAGUUGGUGGGAUAAAAGCUUACCAAGCCGACGAUCUGUAGCUGGUCUGAGAGGACGAUCAGCCACACUGGGACUGAGACACGGCCCAGACUCCUACGGGAGGCAGCAGUGGGGAUUUUGGACAAUGGGCGAAAGCCUGAUCCAGCAAUGCCGCGUGCAGGAUGAAGGCCUUCGGGUUGUAAACUGCUUUUGUACGGAACGAAAAGCCCCGGGUUAAUACCCUGGGGUCAUGACGGUACCGUAAGAAUAAGCACCGGCUAACUACGUGCCAGCAGCCGCGGUAA
rnacentral:rRNA from 1 species